rnacentral:rRNA from 1 species
AGUUACCUGCCCCCGACUCUGGAAUAACCGUGGGAAACGACGGCUAAUACCGGAUAUGAGACGCACAGGCAUCUGUGUGUCUGGAAAGAUUUAUCGGUCAGGGAUGGACUCGCGGCCUAUCAGCUUGUUGGUGGGGUAAUGGCCCACCAAGGCGACGACGGGUAGCCGGCCUGAGAGGGCGACCGGCCACACUGGGACUGAGAUACGGCCCAGACUCCUACGGGAGGCAGCAGUGGGGAAUAUUGCACAAUGGGCGCAAGCUGAUGCAGCGACGCCGCGUGAGGGAUGAAGGCCUUCGGGUUGUAAACCUCUUUCAGCAGGGAAGAAGCGAAAGUGACGGUACCUGCAGAAGAAGCGCCGGCUAACUACGUGCCAGCAGCCGCGGUAAUACGUAGGGCGCAAGCGUUGUCCGGAAUUAUUGGGCGUAAAGAGCUCGUAGGCGGUUUGUCGCGUCUGCUGUGAAAACCUGAGGCUCAACCUCGGGCUUGCAGUGGGUACGGGCAGACUAGAGUUCGGUAGGGGUGACUGGAAUUCCUGGUGUAGCGGUGGAAUGCGCAGAUAUCAGGAGGAACACCGAUGGCGAAGGCAGGUCACUGGGCCGCAACUGACGCUGAGGAGCGAAAGCAUGGGGAGCGAACAGGAUUAGAUACCCUGGUAGUCCAUGCCGUAAACGUUGGGCACUAGGUGUGGAGCUCAUUCCACGAGUUCCGUGCCGCAGCAAACGCAUUAAGUGCCCCGCCUGGGGAGUACGGCCGCAAGGCUAAAACUCAAAGAAAUUGACGGGGGCCCGCACAAGCGGCGGAGCAUGCGGAUUAAUUCGAUGCAACGCGAAGAACCUUACCAAGGCUUGACAUACACCGGAAAAGUGCAGAGAUGUGCUCCCCGCAAGGUCGGUGUACAGGUGGUGCAUGGUUGUCGUCAGCUCGUGUCGUGAGAUGUUGGGUUAAGUCCCGCAACGAGCGCAACCCUCGUCCUAUGUUGCCAGCGGGUUAUGCCGGGGACUCAUAGGAGACUGCCGGGGUCAACUCGGAGGAAGGUGGGGAUGACGUCAAAUCAUCAUGCCCCUUAUGUCUUGGGCUUCACGCAUGCUACAAUGGCCGGUACAAAGGGCUGCGAUACCGCGAGGUGGAGCGAAUCCCAAAAAGCCGGUCUCAGUUCGGAUUGGGGUCUGCAACUCGACCCCAUGAAGUCGGAGUCGCUAGUAAUCGCAGAUCAGCAACGCUGCGG